GCGGAAAUAGUUUAAUUGGUAAAGCAUCAGCCUUCCAAGCUGAAAAUAUGGGUUCAAAUCCCAUUCUCCGCU
rnacentral:tRNA from 1 species